rnacentral:miRNA from 1 species
CACCUCAUCGACUGGAAGGAAUCCCUUCUGGUCGAUGAGGUUGUUACACCUCAUCGACUGGAAGGAAUCCCUUCUGGUCGAUGAGGUU